rnacentral:rRNA from 1 species
GACGAACGCUGGCGGCGUGCUUAACACAUGCAAGUCGAACGGAAAGGCCCUGCUUUUGUGGGGUGCUCGAGUGGCGAACGGGUGAGUAACACGUGAGUAACCUGCCCUUGACUUUGGGAUAACUUCAGGAAACUGGGGCUAAUACCGGAUAGGAGCUCCUGCUGCAUGGUAGGGGUUGGAAAGUUUCGGCGGUUGGGGAUGGACUCGCGGCUUAUCAGCUUGUUGGUGGGGUAGUGGCUUACCAAGGCUUUGACGGGUAGCCGGCCUGAGAGGGUGACCGGCCACAUUGGGACUGAGAUACGGCCCAGACUCCUACGGGAAGCAGCAGUAGGGAAUAUUGCACAAUGGGCGGAAGCCUGAUGCAGCAACGCCGCGUGCGGAAUGACGGCCUUCGGGUUGUAAACCGCUUUCGCCUGUGACGAAGCGUGAGUGACGGUAAUGGGUAAAGAAGCACCGGCUAACUACGUG